UCGGGAAUUUUGGGCAAUGGGGGAAACCCUGACCCAGCAACGCCGUGUGAAGGAUGAAGUAUUUCGGUAUGUAAACUUCGAAAGAAUAGGAAGAAUAAAUGACGGUACUAUUUAUAAGGUCCGGCUAACUACGUGCCAGCAGCCGCGGUAAUACGUAGGGACCAAGCGUUGUUCGGAUUUACUGGGCGUAAAGGGCGCGUAGGCGGCAUGACAAGUCACUUGUGAAAUCUCUGGGCUUAACCCAGAACGGCCAAGUGAUACUGUCGCGCUAGAGUGCAGAAGGGGCAAUCGGAAUUCUUGGUGUAGCGGUGAAAUGCGUAGAUAUCAAGAGGAACACCUGAGGUGAAGACGGGUUGCUGGGCUGACACUGACGCUGAGGCGCGAAAGCCAGGGGAGCAAACGGGAUUAGAUACCCUCGUAGUCCCUGAGCGGGCUGGCAAGGCGCAU
rnacentral:rRNA from 1 species